rnacentral:lncRNA from 1 species
CAAUAAAAUAAAAAUAGUUGGUUUUGGCUAGAAGCUAUAAACAAGUAUUUUAUACCUUUUUCCUGAAUCUCAAUCAUUUGUAUUAAUUGCACCUUUUCUAAUAGCUAAUGGAAAGAUUGUUCUCAAUAAGCUAAUGGAUGGAGUAAAAACUGUUACAGGAGAGGACAUUGAUAUCUCUGACACAGAAGGUGUUCUGGAAAACAUGAGGAUACAAUUUUCAGAUAAGGAACGCUUGGAGUUAUUGAAAAAGUUAUCAGCUGAUGGAGGGAAAAAUGAUGUCUGUAAAUUGGACACAGUUCUGGAAAACAUGGGGAUGAAUCUCACAGAAAAGGAACUUAAAGAUCUG